CCUACGGGGGGCAGCAGUGAGGAAUAUUGGUCAAUGGUCGCGAGCCUGAACCAGCCAAGUCGCGUGAAGGAUGACUGCCCUACGGGUUGUAAACUUCUUUUAUAAGGGAAUAAAGUCUGGCACGUGUGCCUUUUUGUAUGUACUUUAUGAAUAAGGAUCGGCUAACUCCGUGCCAGCAGCCGCGGUAAUACGGAGGAUCCGAGCGUUAUCCGGAUUUAUUGGGUUUAAAGGGAGCGUAGAUGGGUUGUUAAGUCAGUGGUGAAAGUUUGCGGCUCAACCGUAAAAUUGCAGUUGAUACUGGCAGUCUUGAGUACAGUAGAGGUAGGCGGAAUGCGUGGUGUAGCGGUGAAAUGCUUAGAUAUCACGAAGAACUCCGAUUGCGAAGGCAGCUUACUAGACUGCCACUGACACUGAGGCUCGAAAGUGUGGGUAUCAAACAGGAUUAGAUACCCUGGUAGUC
rnacentral:rRNA from 1 species